UACGAAGGGGGCUAGCGUUGCUCGGAAUCACUGGGCGUAAAGCGCACGUAGGCGGACUCUUAAGUCGGUGGUGAAAUCCUGGAGCUCAACUCCAGAACUGCCUUCGAUACUGGGAGUCUCGAGUUCGGGAGAGGUGAGUGGAAUUGCGAGUGUAGAGGUGAAAUUCGUAGAUAUUCGGAAGAACACCAGUGGCGAAGGCGGCUCACUGGACCGGCAUUGACGCUGAGGUGCGAAAGCGUGGGGAGCAAACAGG
rnacentral:rRNA from 1 species